GUCAGAAUAACUUAACCGCCUGUAAGGUUCCAACAAAAUCUUGAAUUUCCAAAACAUAUCAAAGAACUCCAAAAAUUUAUUAAAAAAACGUGUCUGUUUUUCCCUUUUUCCAGCUAUUAGAAGUCACUAGUGGCAUGUGUUAAAUGAGGUAAAAUAAGAUAAUUGCUUCCUCCUAGCAACAUACAUCUGCAUGACUGAUUAAAUUGCAUUAAA
rnacentral:misc_RNA from 1 species